CCAGGCCCCUCUCUACGUGAGACCCCGGUCCCCCUCCCCUUUCUGCAGCCCGCCCGCCACCUGCGCGCCGCGUGGCCUCCGCCGGCGCCUGCCCGCCCCGCGCCUCCGUCUCCCACGGAGCAGGCCGGGCUCUCGCCAUGGGUCACUGUCGCCUCUGCCACGGGAAGUUUUCCUCGAGAAGCCUGCGCAGCAUCUCCGAGAGGGCGCCUGGAGCGAGCAUGGAGAGGCCAUCCGCAGAGGAGCGCGUGCUCGUACGGGACUUCCAGCGCCUGCUUGGUGUGGCUGUCCGCCAGGACCCCACCUUGUCUCCGUUUGUCUGCAAGAGCUGCCACGCCCAGUUCUACCAGUGCCACAGCCUUCUCAAGUCCUUCCUGCAGAGGGUCAACGCCUCCCCGGCUGGUCGCCGGAAGCCUUGUGCAAAGGUCGGUGCCCAGCCCCCAACAGGGGCGGAGGAGGGAGCGUGUCUGGGUGAGUCCUCCCCCGGUGGAGGGUGGGCUGGGUGCCGACCAGCCGUGGAUCUGACAUCUCUGUUGACUCUCUGCAGUGGAUCUGAUCACAUCCAGCCCCCAGUGCCUGCACGGCUUGGUGGGGUGGGUGCAUGGACAUGCGGCCAGCUGCGGGGCCCUGCCCCACCUUCAGAGGACACUGUCCUCCGAGUACUGCGGCGUCAUCCAGGUCGUGUGGGGCUGCGACCAGGGCCACGACUACACCAUGGACACCAGCUCCAGCUGCAAGGCCUUCUUGCUGGACAGUGCGCUGGCAGUCAAGUGGCCAUGGGACAAAGAGACGGCGCCACGGCUGCCCCAGCACCGAGGGUGGAACCCUGGGGAUGCCCCUCAGACCUCCCAGGGUAGAGGGACAGGGACCCCAGUUGGGGCUGAGACCAAGACCCUGCCCAGCACGGAUGUGGCCCAGCCUCCUUCGGACAGCGACGUGGUGGGGCCCAGGUCGGGCUUCCCACCUCAGCCAAGCCUGCCCCUUUGCAGGGCCCCAGGGCAGUUGGGUGAGAAGCAGCUUCCAUCUUCAACCUCGGAUGAUCGGGUAAAAGACGAGUUCAGUGACCUUUCUGAGGGAGACGUCUUGAGUGAAGAUGAAAAUGACAAGAAGCAAAAUGCCCAGUCUUCGGACGAGUCCUUUGAGCCUUACCCAGAAAGGAAAGUCUCUGGUAAGAAGAGUGAAAGCAAAGAAGCCAAGAAGUCUGAAGAACCAAGAAUUCGGAAGAAGCCGGGACCCAAGCCCGGAUGGAAGAAGAAGCUUCGUUGUGAGAGGUGAUGCCUGCAACGCGAGGCUCGCCCUGCCUGUCGGGGCCGGGGCUCCAUGCAUGCUCUUCAUUGCAGGGAGGAGCUUCCCACCAUCUACAAGUGUCCUUACCAGGGCUGCACGGCCGUGUACCGAGGCGCUGACGGCAUGAAGAAGCACAUCAAGGAGCACCACGAGGAGGUCCGCGAGCGGCCCUGCCCCCACCCUGGCUGCAACAAGGUUUUCAUGAUCGACCGCUACCUGCAGCGCCACGUGAAGCUCAUCCACACAGAGGUGCGGAACUAUAUCUGUGACGAAUGUGGACAAACCUUCAAGCAGCGGAAGCACCUUCUCGUCCACCAAAUGCGACAUUCGGGAGCCAAGCCUUUGCAGUAAGUGUGAGUCAGGCCCCCCCCAGGGCUGUAGCCCGCGCACCUUCUUACCUGCCUCUGUCUCCCAGGUGUGAGGUCUGUGGGUUCCAGUGCAGGCAGCGGGCGUCCCUCAAGUACCACAUGACCAAACACAAGGCUGAGACUGAGCUGGACUUUGCCUGUGACCAGUGUGGCCGGCGGUUCGAGAAGGCCCACAACCUCAAUGUACACAUGUCCAUGGUGCACCCGCUGACACAGACCCAGGACAAGGCCCUGCCCCUGGAGGCGGAACCACCACCUGGGCCACCCAGCCCCUCUGUGACCACAGAGGGCCAGGCGGUGAAGCCCGAACCCACCUGAGGACGGCAGUGAGGAUGAGCACCUCUAGCAGCCUGGACUCCGCAGUGGCUGUGUCAGCCUCACCCUUCGUGUGCACCCGCAUGGGAGGGUCGGAGGGUGCUGCCCGCCCUUGGUGCUGGAGGCGGGCUUGGUGUCCAGCUCAAGUAGCCUUCCUCUGCUCUGGGACCAGUGGUUUAUUUUCCCGCAAACGCUGAGUGACUUGGGGCCGGACAGUUCAUAAAUAAUUGAUUCCUUUCCCCACUAAAGCAGUCGAGGAGAUUUGUAAUCCACUUUUUAGUGCAAUAAGAGCUCCAUGUUAUGCUUGUAAUAAAUUAUUUACACGGGAGCUGGGCUGGUGUGCAGUGGCAGGUCCCGUCAGAAGAGAUAAGGCUCCUGGGACAGGUCAGCGUCAGGGGCAGCCUGCUGUCUGCUCUGGAGGGCGGCGCUCACCUCUGGGUCGCAGUCCCCACGAUCAGCCAGCAGCUGUGAGAGAGGAGCAGGUCCUCAGCCCAUGCCGCCCACUAGGCCUCAGACCACAGGGGAGGGGCUCUGGCAGAAAUAGUCGAGUUGUAUUGCCAGCCAGGCAGGUACAUGGCCCAGGCAGCUGUCAAUUCUCAUGUCCCCCAAGUGGCCCAAGGUGGGCAUCUUGACGUUACCUCUGCCACGUGUGAGAAGCUCUUUUUCGGGCACCGAGGUAUUAACUGCAGCAGAAAAAGACGAGCUUUUGUUAUCAGUUCCACAGGGUUGCCCUAGAGAGAAAACAGGCAAACUCACAGGUUAGAAGACAUACAGAAACAGGGCUGGUGUGUCCCCCAUAGUCUGCAUGCUGUGCCGGAACAUUCUUUGGCAGAAGGAGCCUCCGGCUGGGGGGAGCUCCCCUGGAGAUGGGACUGGCCCUUGCACCUGCCUGACCCUGGAGCUCCAGGCUCCUGCCAGCUGGAGGUGAAACUGUGCUUGUAUCCCCAGCCACGAAGAGCUGGACCAGCUUCAAGUACAUGUCGACAGCAACAUGCAGGAAGGCCUCUUCCCUGAUGGCCGCGUCUUCAUGGAAGUAGGAGAGAAGACUAGAGGUAAAGACAUAGUGACAAAUGGCUACAGACUGCUGGAAAGGUAGCAGGCGAUGCCAAGGGAUACUGCUCAUCUGUGGAGCAGAGGCAUAGGCAACCCUUCCCAUCUGGCGGGACCCAGAGGUGCUGAGAUGGGGAUCUGGGAAACACUGUCCAGCCCUGACCAGCCCUGUGGGUGGAGGUACCUGUAAAAAGCAAAAGGCAGCAGCCUGGUGUGCUGAUCCGGGGCCACACGGAGGAGGAGCCGCCCCAGCCUGAGGUCUGCAACACCAAGAAGUGGCUCAGGCAACUCUGGACAUCUCUGCCUAUUAUCAGUGCUGGGGACACCCCUGGGGGUCGGGACGUGUACCCUGGGAGGCCUGGCUGUGGGGAUAGUGUGGGGCGAACAGCCUGAGCUGAGGAUACCCAGGUACCUGUCAGCAGCUGGGAGAGGAUGGGGGGUCGACCUCUUGCAGGAGGGUGGGUGUGGUGCAGAGAGAGGCAGUCCCCACGAUAGGCCCAUUGGUCCUGGGGUUGACCAGUG
rnacentral:sRNA from 1 species